UAUACAUUUCAUUCAUCAAUCAAAAUAAAAAAUCAGUUUUUGAGCAACUACUCCAGUGGAUAUUUAAUGACGGCAUUGCCGUCGCAUGAUCACAACAUACUGGGUUCAUGUCAAUUGGUGCACCUUUCCAUAAUAGAGAACAAAUCCGUCCGUGUUGUGAUGUGUUGCUCUAUUUACAAAUCCUUCAAAAAGUAUUGGAGCGCCUAGGUCAGUUCCUUUGUUUUUGUUGUAUACAGAAGACAUUUGGGUUUCGGAUCAAAGUGAUGAAUAUGAGACAAAAGUUCAGAAGUCCAACUUUUAUUUCAUGAUAUUGACAUUUAGAUGUGUUCAACAACUUGGGACAGAGCACCGUUUGUUUCAAGAUGAAUACUGGGAUCCAGUGAGGGCACAACAUAGGCGAUAACCGCUGCACAUUCCAGCUGUACUACAAAAUGGCAAACUCACCACAUACAAUAGGUCACUACACUGCAUAUUGGAUAGGGAAUAAUUUAGUGUUUUGUCCACAGUUUGAAAAAGAAGAGCAACCCACCAGAGAUUAAUCAGUCGUGGAUGAAUGCUCGAUGUCAUCCAAGAUGUGCGUUUGACAGCCUUCCGCACAUUUUGCCCCGCUAAGAAGCUCAAAGCCAAGCUGGCAACCUCCAAAGGAAGGUCACCCAGAGUCGGUGCCAACUCAUCGUGAGGGCAAAUCUAUGAGGAACAUCUUUCCUCGUCCAUCCACAACUGGUGUUGCUAAACACGACCAAUGAUGCCAUGAACGCAAACAUGAAUUAUAAUUCAAGAAUGAAAAUAUUGCAGUUGCAACAAUGACCAAAAACUUCAUCGGUCUACUGGAGUUUCUCUUAAGAAUCUCACCCUCUGACAGACCGCUGAAACUUCUGGAUUCUUUCAUUCAUACUGAGAAAAUGACCUUAAACUAGCAGUACGUACAGUGUGACACGAAGAGCGACAAUAAGACGCGAACAAACGCACAAAGAACCAGACUGACAGGUCUUGAUGUACAGAGAGAACUUCUUCCUAACUCAAAUUGUGUAAGACAGGGAGUGGCCUUAACACACACACACGCACACACACACACACACACACACACACACACACACACACACACACACACACACACACACACACACAGACGUAUAAGCACCCCUGAAUAAAAUCAUGCGAGAGUAAAAUGCUUUCAAUCAGUGUACCGUCACAAACAUUAACUUGACAUGGCACAUAUUUAUUUAGUUGAAAGUGCAGGUUCGAUACGGUUGUUUCAUAACGGUCAAACACACAGCAGCGGGUACAAGUUUGUGUGUGCGUGUGUGUGCAUGUCUGUGCAUGUGUGUGCCUUCCGCCAGACUAAUGAGAUUAGUGUGAAAUAUUCCAAUCAAACUGAGGUUCAAGGUUUUAAUUUGUAGUUCGCUCACUGAUUGUUUGGAAUUUGUGAUGAAUUGAGUACAAACUUCACUGCAGACGUUCUUUUCUUGUUUGUAGCUUUAAUCCAUGUGCCCUGUGACUGACUGGCAGCAAGCCCAGGGUGCAACCCAUCUCUCAGCCAAAUGUCAGCUUGGAUUGGCUUCAGUACACCCACGACUCUAAUGAGGACAAGGGUGCUUACAAAAAAAAAAAAAAAA